rnacentral:rRNA from 1 species
GAGUUUGAUCUUGGCUCAGAUUGAACGCUGGCGGCAUGCCUUACACAUGCAAGUCGAACGGCAGCACGGGAGCUUGCUCCUGGUGGCGAGUGGCGAACGGGUGAGUAAUGCAUCGGAACGUAUCCUGGAGUGGGGGAUAACGUAGCGAAAGUUACGCUAAUACCGCAUAUUCUGUGAGCAGGAAAGCGGGGGACCUUCGGGCCUCGCGCUCUUGGAGCGGCCGAUGUCGGAUUAGCUAGUUGGUGAGGUAAAGGCUCACCAAGGCGACGAUCCGUAGCAGGUCUGAGAGGAUGAUCUGCCACACUGGAACUGAGACACGGUCCAGACUCCUACGGGAGGCAGCAGUGGGAAUUUUGGACAAUGGGGGCAACCCCGAUCCAGCCAUGCCGCGUGAGUGAAGAAGGCCUCGGUUG